GAUUUAGUGCCGCAUUUAUUAAAAGGUUUGCUUAUUCCUUACUGCAAUGUCUCAGAUUGCUGCACAAGGAGAAAAUUAUCCAUUGUGAUUUAAAACCUGAGAAUAUUUUAUUGCGACAAAGAGGGCAAAGUGCAAUAAAAGUUAUAGACUUCGGUUCAAGUUGUUU